GAUGAACGCUGGCGGCGUGCCUAAUACAUGCAAGUCGAGCGAACAGAUGAGGAGCUUGCUCCUCUGACGUUAGCGGCGGACGGGUGAGUAACACGUGGAUAACCUACCUAUAAGACUGGGAUAACUUCGGGAAACCGGAGCUAAUACCGGAUAAUAUAUUGAACCGCAUGGUCCAAUAGUGAAAGACGGUUUUGCUGUCACUUAUAGAUGGAUCCGCGCCGCAUUAGCUAGUUGGUAAGGUAACGGCUUACCAAGGCAACGAUGCGUAGCCGACCUGAGAAGGUGAUCGGCCACCCUGGAACUGAGACCCGGUCCAGACUCCUACGGGAGGCAGCAGUAGGGAAUCUUCCGCAAUGGGCGAAAGCCUGACGGAGCAACGCCGCGUGAGUGAUGAAGGUCUUCGGAUCGUAAAACUCUGUUAUUAGGGAAGAACAAAUGUGUAAGUAACUAUGCACGUCUUGACGGUACCUAAUCAGAAAGCCACGGCUAACUACGUG
rnacentral:rRNA from 1 species